ACUCAAAGGAAUUGACGGGGACUUGCACAAGCAGUGGAUUAUGCGGUUUAAUUCGAUGCUAAACGAAAAACCUUACCAGGGUUAGAAAUCCCGACGAAGUCCGCCAGAAACGGCGGAUGUCCUCACGGACGUCGGGACAGGUGAUGCAUGGCCGUCGUCAGUUCGUGAUUUGAAUUGUUCCCUUAAGUGGGGUAACGAACGCAACCCUCGUUGCCAGUUACAAGUGUCUGGCGAGACUGCCCCCGCUUUUGUUUACAAAUGUUUGCAAACAAAAGCGGGGGAGGAAGGCGAGGAUGACGCCAGGUCAGCAUGUCCCUUUGAUACCCUGGGCUACACGCAUAAUACAAUGGCCGCUACAACAGGUUGCGACGGAGUAAUCCUGAGCUAAUCCUUAGAAAGGCGGCCUCAGUUCGGAUUGGGGGCUGAAACUCGACCCCAUGAAGUUGGAAUUGCUAGUAAUCGCGGGUCAGCUAUACCGCGGUGAAUACGUUCUCAAGUCUUGUACACACCGCCCGU
rnacentral:rRNA from 1 species